UCCCUGGUGGUCCAGUGGUUAGGACUCUGGUCUCUCACUGCCAGGGGCCCAGGUUCAAUCCCUGGUUGGGGAA